rnacentral:rRNA from 1 species
UGGGGAAUAUUGGACAAUGGGCGAAAGCCUGAUCCAGCCAUGCCGCGUGUGUGAAGAAGGCCUUUUGGUUGUAAAGCACUUUAAGCGAGGAGGAGGCUACUAGUACUAAUACUACUGGAUAGUGGACGUUACUCGCAGAAUAAGCACCGGCUAACUCUGUGCCAGCAGCCGCGGUAAUACAGAGGGUGCGAGCGUUAAUCGGAUUUACUGGGCGUAAAGCGUGCGUAGGCGGCUGAUUAAGUCGGAUGUGAAAUCCCUGAGCUUAACUUAGGAAUUGCAUUCGAUACUGGUCAGCUAGAGUAUGGGAGAGGAUGGUAGAAUUCCAGGUGUAGCGGUGAAAUGCGUAGAGAUCUGGAGGAAUACCGAUGGCGAAGGCAGCCAUCUGGCCUAACACUGACGCUGAGGUACGAAAGCGUGGGGAGCAAACAGG